ensembl:lncRNA fibrous sheath CABYR-binding protein-like
CGCUUCUCAACAUGUGUCCACAUGCUGACAUUACACGUGUGCUUCCUCACUAUGGGAUAUUCACUUUCAGCGGGGGCACCACUUGACUCACUGGUUGUUUGACUCAGAACGAAAAAGGACUUUGAUAAGACGGACAUCAUGUUUAAAGGUUCCUCUUUGCUGCUGCUGACCCUGAUCCUGACUGUUCAGCUAUGCUCUUCAGCACCAAUAUCAGCUGAAGUUGCUGCAGAAGAACCAGGUCCAGAGGAGCUCAUGCCAGUAGAGGCAAAAGAAUCAGAUGAGGAGAAACACAUUCCAGCUGCUGCAGGUGAAGAGGCUGCAUCUCCUGAUGAGCCACCUCCUGAAGAAGCCAUUCCAGAUGUUGAAACAGAAGCAGAAGUAUCUCAGCAGUCAGACACUCAGGAGCCACAAGAAUCUCCUGAGGAGGAACCUGCCCCCAUAGAAGAUACCUUAUCAGAGGACUCUCAAGAUGAAGCUACAGCUGAGGUUGCCUCGGCUGUAGACAGUGAGUCUUCAGAACAAGAUGAGGAGGAUCCAGGUCCAGAAGCACAAGUCAUUCCCUUAGACACUUCAGAAGAUGAGGCUCCAGAGGAAGAAGCAGAGGUAGAAGCUGUUGUUGCUGUAGAGAACACUGAAGCAGAUGUAGAAGAAGCUCCAGAAGCAGCAGUCCCAAUAAUUCCUGCUGAAGAUCCAGAAGACGAGGCUUCAGAGGACACUGUAGAGGAGACAUUACUGAUAGACACUGUUGACAAUGCAGCUGCUGAACCUACUGAGUCUCAAGAACCUCUUCAGAGCACACCAGAGGAAGAGACAUCUGUUAUCCUGAUCCCUGCAGUACCUGAGGAAGAAGAAGCCACACAAAUGGAAGAGGCUGCAGAUGACACAGCACCAGAGGAGACUGCUCCAGAGGAUCCUGUUGUUGCUGUUCCUGUAGACCCUGCUGAAGAAGAAGAAGCAGCUCCAGAUAAUGUUGUUAUGGACUCUGUUGACUCUGCUGAAGAGCCAGCUCCAGAGCAAACACAAGAAACAGCUCUAGUUGUUUCUCCAGAAGCCAAUGAAGAGGAGUAUUCAGUGGAAGAGGCUGUGGCUGUUGUUCCUGCAGAGGCUGAAGAGGAGGUAGAAGCUGCUGCAGAGGACACUGCAGAGGAUGUGGCUGUCGUUGUUCCUCCAGCUCCAGAGCAAACGGAAGAACCAGUUCUAGUUGUUCCUCCAGAAGCCAAAGAAGAGGAGUCUCCAGUGGAAGAGUCUGUUGCUGUUCCUGUAGAUGCUGAAGAGGAGGUAGAAGCUGCUGCAGAGGACACUGCAGAAGAUGUGGCUGGCAUUGUUCCUUUGGGACCUGCUGAAGAGGAACCAGAAGAAGCUGAGGAGGAGCCUGUUGUAGUGUCAGAAGAAAAUGCCGAAGACAUCCCUGAUACCAUAGAGGAGACUCUUCCAAGUGUAUCAGAAGAGGAGGAAUCUGUAGUCCUUGUUUCUGUAGAACUUGAGAUGGGAGGUGAAGAAGAAACAGAGGAGUCAGUCCCAGAGGAGCCUGCUGUUGUUGCAGAACCUGAGGAACCUGAAGAAGAACCUGCAGUCAUUGUUCCUGUAGAGCUUCAGCCUGAAGAGGAAAGUCAAGUGGAAAUUGCUGCAGAAGAUACUGCUCUGGGAGAGUCUCUCCCAGAGGAUGCGGUUGUUGCUGUUCCUUUGGAUCCUGAUGUAGAAGACUUGGAACCCAAAGAGCCUGAAGAGGAAUCUAUACCUGUGGUUUCACUAGAGGAAGAAGCUGCAGAAACUGAUGCUCAGGAGGUACCCCAUACAGUGCCAGAAGAAGAUGACCCUUCUACUGAUGAAGAGACUCCAGGGGCACCAGAAGAAGAAGAAGAACAUGUGGUCCUUGUUCCUGUAGAACCAGAGACAGAAGGACAAGAAGAAACAGAACCAAAGGCUUCCCCAGAAGAACCUGCUAUCAUUGUUCUUGUUGAACCUACUAAUGAACCAGCUCCAGAAGACCCAGUCCUUAUAAUUACCCCAGAAGACACAGAAGAAGACGGUCCAGAAGAAGAAGUUGUGGAAGAUGAUGCAGCUUCGGAGGAGAUUACGGUCAUACUUUCAGUGCCUGUCAAUGAGACUACAAAUGAGACUGUGAUUGUAGAGGAGGAGCUGGAUACAGAGGACACAGUUGCAGUGGCAGCAACAGAAGCUCCGGAGGAACCUAUCAUCAUUUCUGCACCUGCCGAUGAAGAUACUAAAACGGUUCUUGUUCCUGUGGAUGGAAAGAACCACACCAACAUUAACAUGCACACAGCUGAUUUUAGGUCUGUGGUCACAGUGACAGAGGAAGAACCAAUGGCUCAGAUGAACAGAGGGGCCGUGCUCGGAGCAGCAUUCUUUACACUGAUGUCUUUCAUCAUUAUUGGGUUUGUUGUGAUGUCAAUAGCCAAGAAGCUGCGAUGAAAACAUGACACUGAGGAUCUCUGAAGUAAAAUCAGAGUACCUGUUUGGGGAAUCAUGGAGCAAGUUUUACGGCUGUGGAUCUACUGGGCUAAAUAUAAGUCCUCUGUAGGAGGACAGACUCCAGUUUCUCCAAGGUUGGGACGGCCACAAAAUGGAUCUCUCUGCCAAAAAUCCAAACAAUUAAUUUGUUAAUCACAUCUUAAAGAGUAACAGUACCUCAGUGUGAAUGUACCAAAACUUCUCAAGGUAAAACCAAAUCUUUCAGCAGCAGCAGCAGAGUAAUGCAUUAAUAAGUGUAACCACAAUUUUUCUGUUAAAUGAAGGGGAGUGACUUUAUAUGUUGUUGGCUAAUUUAAGCUGAACGAUGAAUGAUGAACAGUUUGAAGUGGUUUAGGACAAUAAUCUAUUUUUUUAUAUGUUGUCUUAUAUGUCCUGUCUAACAAUGUUUUGUAUUCAUAAUAAUAUUUGACAGUCUGGAAAAUGAUGCAAAAUGUAGAUGAUGAUCAUGCACUUGGGGGUGUAUAGUAACUUUUACAUCCCUCCCUCCAUGUCUCCUUCACUAGCAGCCCUCCAUGGGUAGUGUUAAUUUAGACUAAACAGGUCUGGCACUUCUAUUCUACCACACAACACACACAACAGUAGCCAUACUAAGGGCUGGGGUUAGCUGACAUGACACCUCUAAUGCAACUUUUGGUCUUUCUCGUAUGGUGUCCUACAACAUUACAGUAAAUUAUCUUUAAAAUGGACAAACGCAUGUGUGAUUUGUAGUUUAAUGGGAUAUGGAAUAUGAAAUAUCUGCAUACAGUGUAGCUGUAUACCAGAUGAUGGUUGCCACGCUCCAUAGAACACAUGUACAGCCACACUUUUUAAUGUGUUUUCAUUCUUUAAUCACCAAAGUUUGUCUACGUAUUGCACUUGCAUACACAUUGAUACAGACACUUCAGUGCACCACAUGCCGUAAAAAGGAACACUCAUCUCCUACACUGUUAAAGAGCAAGUAUCACUUUUCCUGUUCUGUCCUGCAGCAUGAGACGGAGAGGUCUCCUAUCAAUCACAGUCUGGCAAGCUGCUCUGCCAGCUCGUCCUGCACACAGGGCAUAUUUUUAGGAUGGUAGAGGGGGGACAGGGUGUUCUGAAUAAAAACUUUAAGCAAUGUUCUGUAUUAAAAAUA